rnacentral:rRNA from 1 species
AUUGAACGCUGGCGGCAGGCUUAACACAUGCAAGUCGAGCGGAGCGAGGGUGCUUGCACCUUAGCUUAGCGGCGGACGGGUGAGUAAUGCUUAGGAAUCUGCCUAUUAGUGGGGGACAACAUUCCGAAAGGGAUGCUAAUACCGCAUACGCCCUACGGGGGAAAGCAGGGGAUCCUCGGACCUUGCGCUAAUAGAUGAGCCUGAGUCGGAUUAGCUAGUUGGUGGGGUAAAGGCCUACCAAGGCGACGAUCUGUAGCGGGUCUGAGAGGAUGAUCCGCCACACUGGGACUGGGACACGGCCCAGACUCCUCCGGGAGGCAGCAGUGGGGAAUAUUGGACAAUGGGCGGAAGCCUGAUCCAGCCAUGCCGCGUGUGUGAAGAAGGCCUUUUGGUUGUAAAGCACUUUAAGCGAGGAGGAGGCUACUAGUAUUAAUACUACUGGAUAGUGGACGUUACUCGCAGAAUAAGCACCGGCUAACUCUGUGCCAGCAGCCGCCGUAA